rnacentral:tRNA from 1 species
UGCGAGGUGUAGCAGUGGUAGCUAGUCAGGCUCAUAACCUGAAGGUCAAUGGUUCGAAUCCAUUCUUCGCAA